AGAGUUUGAUCCUGGCUCAGGAUGAACGCUGGCGGCGUGCCUAAUACAUGCAAGUCGAGCGAACGGACGAGAAGCUUGCUUCUCUGAUGUUAGCGGCGGACGGGUGAGUAACACGUGGAUAACCUACCUAUAAGACUGGGAUAACUUCGGGAAACCGGAGCUAAUACCGGAUAAUAUUUUGAACCGCAUGGUUCAAAAGUGAAAGACGGUCUUGCUGUCACUUAUAGAUGGAUCCGCGCUGCAUUAGCUAGUUGGUAAAGUAACGGCUUACCAAGGCAACGAUGCAUAGCCGACCUGAGAGGGUGAUCGGCCACACUGGAACUGAGACACGGUCCAGACUCCUACGGGAGGCAGCAGUAGGGAAUCUUCCGCAAUGGGCGAAAGCCUGACGGAGCAACGCCGCGUGAGUGAUGAAGGUCUUCGGAUCGUAAAACUCUGUUAUUAGGGAAGAACAUAUGUGUAAGUAACUGUGCACAUCUUGACGGUACCUAAUCAGAAAGCCACGGCUAACUACGUGCCAGCAGCCGCGGUAAUACGUAGGUGGCAAGCGUUAUCCGGAAUUAUUGGGCGUAAAGCGCGCGUAGGCGGUUUUUUAAGUCUGAUGUGAAAGCCCACGGCUCAACCGUGGAGGGUCAUUGGAAACUGGAAAACUUGAGUGCAGAAGAGGAAAGUGGAAUUCCAUGUGUAGCGGUGAAAUGCGCAGAGAUAUGGAGGAACACCAGUGGCGAAGGCGACUUUCUGGUCUGUAACUGACGCUGAUGUGCGAAAGCGUGGGGAUCAAACAGGAUUAGAUACCCUGGUAGUCCACGCCGUAAACGAUGAGUGCUAAGUGUUAGGGGGUUUCCGCCCCUUAGUGCUGCAGCUAACGCAUUAAGCACUCCGCCUGGGGAGUACGACCGCAAGGUUGAAACUCAAAGGAAUUGACGGGGACCCGCACAAGCGGUGGAGCAUGUGGUUUAAUUCGAAGCAACGCGAAGAACCUUACCAAAUCUUGACAUCCUUUGACAACUCUAGAGAUAGAGC
rnacentral:rRNA from 1 species